UCAAAAAAUCUGCAGAAUG
rnacentral:miRNA from 1 species